rnacentral:rRNA from 1 species
UAGUCCACGCCGUAAACGAUGUGUGCUAGAUGUCGGGUCCAUAGGAUUCGGUGUCGCAGCUAACGCACUAAGCACACCGCCUGGGGAGUACGGUCGCAAGAUUAAAACUCAAAGGAAUUGACGGGGACCCGCACAAGCGGUGGAGCAUGUUCUUUAAUUCGACGCAACGCGAAGAACCUUACCUACACUUGACAUCCUGAUCGCGUUUUCUAGAGAUAGAUUACUUCAGUUCGGCUGGAUCAGUGACAGGUGCUGCACGGCUGUCGUCAGCUCGUGUCGUGAGAUGUUCGGUUAAGUCCGGCAACGAGCGCAACCCACAUCCUUAGUUGCCAGCAGUUCGGCUGGGCACUCUAGGGAAACUGCCCGUGAUAAGCGGGAGGAAGGUGUGGAUGACGUCAAGUCCUCAUGGCCCUUACGGGUUGGGCUACGACACGUGCUACAAUGGCAGUGACAAUGGGUUAAUCCCAAAAACUGUCUCAGUUCGGAUUGGGGUCUGCAACUCG